GAUGAACGCUGGCGGCGUGCCUAAUACAUGCAAGUCGAGCGAACGGACGAGAAGCUUGCUUCUCUGAUGUUAGCGGCGGACGGGUGAGUAACACGUGGAUAACCUACCUAUAAGACUGGGAUAACUUCGGGAAACCGGAGCUAAUACCGGAUAAUAUUUUGAACCGCAUGGUUCAAAAGUGAAAGACGGUCUUGCUGUCACUUAUAGAUGGAUCCGCGCUGCAUUAGCUAGUUGGUAAGGUAACGGCUUACCAAGGCAACGAUGCAUAGCCGACCUGAGAGGGUGAUCGGCCAAACUGGAACUGGGACACGGUCCAGACUCCUACGGGAGGCAGCAGUAGGAAAUCUUCCGCAAUGGGCGAAAGCCUGACGGAGCAACGCCGCGUGAGUGAUGAAGGUCUUCGGAUCGUAAAACUCUGUUAUUAGGGAAGAACAUAUGUGUAAGUAACUGUGCACAUCUUGACGGUACCUAAUCAGAAAGCCACGGCUAACUACGU
rnacentral:rRNA from 1 species